rnacentral:rRNA from 1 species
UUGUACCUUUUGUAUCAGGGAUAAUUAAUUUUUUUUAUAAAUAUAUUAUUCUCGAAAUUUAAUGAUUUAAGAUAUUUUGUUAGUUGAUGUGUUAUAAUCAUUAAUAAAAUUAUUUUGGGAAUGAAAUUUUUUCGUAUUAAAUGAUAUCUAGUUUCUUGAGAAUUGAAUUUAAUUCAGGAUAAAUUAUUAAUUAUUAAUUGAAUUUUUUAUUAUUUUUUUUAUCUAAAAAUAUUAAGGAUAAGCUAAAUAUUAAUUCUAUAUAGUGUAUGUAUAUAACCAAUUUAAUAAGCUUAAAACCAGCUAAUUUAUUAAUUAAGUUAAAUUUUAAUUUUUAUUAAAUUAUAUUUCUUUUUUAUUAGAUAUUUAUUAAGAAACUAAUUUUAAUAAAUUAAUUGAAUAAUAAUGAUUAUAUUAGUAUAAUUGUUAUAUUGAAUUUAUGAAUUAGGCAAUUUUAAUUUUCACCUGUUUAACAAAAACAUGUCUUUUAGAUUAAAUUAAAAGUCUAUUCUGCCCAAUGAUUUUUGAAUGGCCGCGGUAAUCUGACCGUGCAAAGGUAGCAUAAUAAUUAGUCUUUUAAUUAAAGGCUUGUAUGAAUGAUUGGAUGAAAAAUUUACUUUAUUAUUAAAAAUAAUUGAACUUAAUUUUUAAGUAAAAAAGCUUAAAUAAAUAAGUGGGACGAGAAGACCCUAUAGAGCUUUAAAGUUUUUAUUAAUCAAAAAUUUUAGGAAUUGAAUAUUAUUUAAUUAAUAUAAAUUUUUUUAUUGGGGUGAUAUUAAAAAUUAAUUAACUUUUAAUUUUUUAAUCAUUAAUAUAUGUUUAUUAGAUCCAAUUUUAUUGAUUUCAAGAAAAAGUUACCUUAGGGAUAACAGCGUAAUUAUUUUUGAGAGUUCUUAUCGAUAAAUUAGAUUGCGACCUCGAUGUUGGAUUAAGAAAAGAUUUUUGGUGAAGAUUUUAAUUAUCUAGGUCUGUUCGACCUUUAAAUUCUUACAUGAUCUGAGUUCAGACCGGCGUGAGCCAGGUUGGUUUCUAUCUGCUGAAAUAUUUUUGAUAUUAGUACGAAAGGACCAUAUCAAUUAAUUUAAUU